CACCCAUUGGUUGUGGGGAUGGGGGUAGAUGUAUAACUGAUCUUCCAAAGAACUGUUGGCUGUUUUUUCAUGAGGAAAGAAAGAAGAUGAGCUGAGCAGAGUGGUGGGACCAAGUACUGCAAGGUCAACCUGAGCUUUUUAUCCAUCUCCUUACCCUUGGCAGCUGAGAAGACCACCAGGCUGAACAGCCCCCUAAUUACUGUGAUGGCAUUGCCUUGAUUUUGUACUGCAACAUGGCUGUGAUUUGGAGCUUGUCAGCUGAAACUGCUCCACAGAACUGUUGCUCUUUAUCUGGGCUGAGCAAUCAACUUGACAGAGUGGCCAGUGAAGUGGAUGGGUGACCACAUAUUCUUUCGUACUUGUGCCCUCCUCAUCUGGCUGACUUUUGUUUGGAAUUGGUUGCCCGCUGAAGAGUAUGUGUUUUGCCUGUUUCCCUUGAGCUGGAACUUCAGUACCUGACAGAACUUGGCCGCAUGUGUGAUUUUUCUGGAAUUCACAGUCUGUCCCCUGCAGCCUCCUGCAAAACCUUGAGAGUUGAAUCUCUGAAGUCUGAUAAGUGUGCACAUUUGUUGGGAGGCGAUAUUUACAGCUCUUUCCCUCCACGGAUGUAUCGGUAGGACCUCUGACUCCCAAAGGACUGCCUGUUUUUCAAGAAAUAGUAGGUUCUCUUUUGCUCCUGAAAGAUGCCGAUAAUCAAAGCACACAGACCUGUACGUUCAGAGUACAGCUAAGUGGGUGUGCAGAAGAGGAAGGAGCCGCAUUGCCCAGUGAAAACUCAAGCUUCACGUUCAGCUUAGUGAUCUCGCUUCUUUGUGCAUCCAAAGUCAUGGAUGAAACGUUACUGAUUCGGAACAGAGACCUGUGGAAUCCCAUGAGCAGCACCAGGGCAGCACUGGGGCCAUGGCCGCCCCCCACCCAAUGAGCCCAGAACCUCUGUCCGUCUGCGACGAGCGUCUUGACUGCCAGAGCCCUCUGACAGAAGGAGCAGCAUUUGAAUCCCCUUCCCGCGUGUGGCGAGAGCUGUGGUGGAGGGGGACGGAUCCCCCUCCACCGAAGAAGCGUCGCCGGCAGGAGAGCAGCAGCAAGCCGGAGCCCAUGGAGAUAGACUCCGAAGAGAGUGACGUCAACAUGGAACCAAUGGAGGUGGAUCUGCCUCCUGAGGAAGAGCCGAUGGAGGUGGAUCCAUCUCCAUCACGGCUGGGCAUCCACUAUAAGAUCAUGAUUGCCCGUCGACGUCGCCGCAUCCGUGAACAGCGCUCCAGGGGCUCUCGCUUUUCAUCUGCGCGUUGAGGAGUCACCAUCCGCCCGAGAGCCCCAGCUGCUGCUCCCUGCCCCCCUUCCCUUCCUUCCCCGACAUCCCUCACCUCUUCUUUCCCGAUCUCUGAGGGGAAGGGAAGGACCGGCACUGGCACCAGGACAACAGGAGGAGUGCAGCGGACGGCCGCGAGAGAUCUCCGUGCGGCCUCAGAGCGACCCCGAGGAAGAGGGCCGGGCCGGGCCUGGAGGUCUCUGAGGAGCUGCUCCCAACAGCAGGAGGACGGCGAACGGCCCCGCACUCCCUGCAGCAUCCAGGCGGUGCCAGAGAAGCUACAGAAGCACCUGUUGCCUGGGGGAAGCGAAAGUCUGCAUCGGACACGGGGAGGGAAGGGCCGUGCCAGGCGCUCCGUCAGGACUCCAGAAAGGCAGGACAAGGAACAAGGUGAAGACGACGAC
ensembl:lncRNA